UCUCUUUCUUCAUUAAUUCCUUGCCACAUCAUCUAUUUUAUCUAGAUAUGUGUGAUGUUACCACAUAUAUUACUCCCACUGCAAGUAGUCUCAACGCUCGAUCGACGUUCGCCUGGGAGUCGUUGAGCGAUGGCUCACAUGUUGAUGUAGAUAGGAUCGCGAGGUGGCGAACCGCGCGUGGGUUGACCCUUUCGUCACGGUCCGAGGCCCGGACCCUUUCUUCGAUGAUGCUUGGGUAAAAGCGUCGCCCAAUGCACGGGCAUGCAACAGGUCGACACGGGCAUAUGCAAACAAAACCGGCCAGCCAAAACGUGCACAAUGUUAGUUUUAAUCUUGAUGUAUGUAUAUGCAUAUUUAGUUUGCUUUCAUCAUGCAUGUAGGAUAGGUUAGAGAGUAGCUAGUCCAGUCAAGCUUCAGCGAAGAUGUGUGGAGAAGGCGAGAUGCCAGGGCGCCGUGUGAUACGGCGAGUACAGUGAGAUGCUGCAAAGCUGCGCGAGGCAGCACGGUCGUGUGAUGCGGCAAGUACAUGAGAGGCUGGAGCCUGACCGGCUAGACGAGGUGGUUAGAGCUGAGAGAUUCACAGAGUUUGUUAGUUGCUUGGCCGAGUCGUGGCUGUUGGAGCGAUUCCAGGACUGGAUAGGGCUGGUAGUGCGUGUAUUAGUGCUUGCAUGGCUUAGUGGGAUUAGUUGCUGAGAGAGUUGGUGGCUAGUGCGUGCGUGGGUCCUCUGUACUGGCGUGAGUUUAGAUCGCAUGGUUGCCGAGUCUUGUAUAAAUACAUUGCAUUGAGUAAUAGAAGUUGAGGCCGUGAGGGCUAUAGGAAAAAUGUAGUCUUUAUGUGCACCAAGGAAGAGUGUUCUGGGCAAAGCCUCGUUGGGUUUCUUCCUUGGAUGUGUGCGUGUGUGUUUUCUGAGUUUCACCAUGUGUGUGUGUGUGUGUUCUUGUGUGAGACAAAGAGAGUUGAGCUGUGAGAGGCAGCUCAAGGUAGUAGAAGAAGCGGCGCUGCAAGGAGAUUCAGCGCCAACAAUUGGCAUCAGAGCCCUGUCGAUCCGUGGCGGUGACUACGGUACCGGCGGCUAUGGUGGCCGGCGUGGCGGUGGCGGAGGCAACGGCUGCGACGGCGGUGGACUCCAUGUGAGGUGGAGGACGCCGACGCGAGGUGAUGGCUGGCGGCGGCGCGAUGCCGCUGGUGGCCGGUUGCGGUGCAAUGCUGCGAGGUGAUGAUGGCGUGGUGAUCGGUGUUGCGAAGGCGCCGUCCACGACAAGAGGUGGCCGCUGCGUGUGGCAGGACGAUGUGGUGAUGGGCGCCGCGACAGCGUCGUCCUCGGCAAGGAGAAGUCGCUACAUUCGGCAAGUGGUUGUGGGUGAUCCGCGUCGGAGAUUGGAGAAUCAAGAUUAAGGGGGAAAAUGUGAGCUUUAAUCUUGAUGUAUGUAUCUGCAUAUUUAGUUUGCUUUCAUCAUGCAUGUAGGAUAGGUUAGAGAGUAGCUAGUCCGGUCAAGCUUCAGCGAAGAUGUGCGGAGAAGGCGAGAUGCCAGGGCGCCGUGUGAUACGGCGAGUACGGCGAGAUGCUGCAAAGCUGCGCGAGGUGGCACGGCCGUGUGAUGCGGCAAGUACAUGAGAGGCUGGAGCCUGACCGGCUAGACGAGGUGGUUAGAGCUGAGAGAUUCACAGAGUUUGUUAGUUGCUUGGCCGAGUCAUGGCUGUUGGAGCAAUUCCAGGACUGGAUAAGGCCGGUAGUGCGUGUGUUAGUGCCUGCAUGGCUUAGUGGGAUUAGUUGCCGAGAGGGUUGGUGGCUAGUGCGUGCGUGGGUCCUCUUUACUGGCGUGAGUUUAGAUCGCAUGGUUGCCGAGUCUUGUAUAAAUACAUUGCAUUGAGUAUAGAAGUUGAGGCCGUGAGGGCUAGAGGAAAAAUGUAGUCUUUGUGUGCACCAAGGAAGAGUGUUCUGGGCAAAGCCUCGUUGGGUUUCUUCCUUGGCUGUGUGCGUGUGUGUUUUCUGAGUUUCACCAUGUGUGUGUGUGUGUUCUUGUGUGAGACAAAGAGAGUUGAGCUGUGAGAGGCAGCUCAAGGUAGUAGAAGAAGCGGCGCUGCGAGGAGAGGCGGCGCUAACACACAAGCCCGGAUGUUUCUUAUGUGCUAAGUGUUAGUAUAAGAUGACUGCAAAUCUUAAUCGGGCUACGUUUUCACACUCAAUGGUGGUGCAGUGUGAUAGAAGUGUUUUAAGCAGAACACUGUUGCGGAUUCUACAACGGGGCGAAAUAUAUCGCAUCUUUAGAAGCUUCGAAGGAGGAGGUGUGGAUCAAGAACUUUCUUGAAGAACUAGGUGUGGUUCCCAGCGCACUGAACCCAAUGGCUCUCUGUUGUGAUAAUAGUGGCAUCGUGGCUCACACAAAGGAGCUAAUGUCCCACCAGAAGUCCAGACAUAUUGAAUGCGAGUAUCACAAUAUUUGGGAUCAUGUAGAUAAGGAUUCUAUGAAAGUAAUCAAGAUUCACAUGAUCUGAACAUGUCAGACCUAAUGACGAAUCCUCUACCACGAGCAAUCCAUGAACAACACCGAAUUGCCAUUGGUGUAAAAGAAGUUAUGUAACUAGAUUAUUGAUUGUAGUCCAAGUGGGAGACUGUUGGAAAUAUGCCCUAGAGGCAAUAGUAAUUGUGUUAUUAUACAUUUCCAAUUUUAUACUUAA